rnacentral:rRNA from 1 species
CCUACGGGAGGCAGCAGUGGGGAAUAUUGGACAAUGGGGGCAACCCUGAUCCAGCCAUGCCGCGUGUGUGAAGAAGGCCCUCGGGUUGUAAAGCACUUUCAGUGAGGAAGAACGCCUGGUGGUUAAUACCCAUCAGGAAAGACAUCACUCACAGAAGAAGCACCGGCUAACUCCGUGCCAGCAGCCGCGGUAAUACGGAGGGUGCGAGCGUUAAUCGGAAUUACUGGGCGUAAAGCGCGCGUAGGUGGCUUGAUAAGCCGGUUGUGAAAGCCCCGGGCUCAACCUGGGAACGGCAUCCGGAACUGUCAAGUGAGAGUGCAGGAGAGGAAGGGAGAGUUCCCGGUGUAGCGGUGAAAUGCGUAGAGAUCGGGAGGAAUACCAGUGGCGAAGGCGGCCUUCUGGACUGACACUGACACUGAGGUGCGAAAGCGUGGGUAGCAAACAGGAGUAGAUACCCUUGUAGUC